AGUGAACGCUGGCGGUAGGCCUAACACAUGCCAGUCGAACGGCAGCACAGUAAGAGCUUGCUCUUACGGGUGGCGAGUGGCGGACGGGUGAGGAAUACAUCGGAAUCUACUUUUUCGUGGGGGAUAACGUAGGGAAACUUACGCUAAUACCGCAUACGACCUACGGGUGAAAGCAGGGGAUCUUCGGACCUUGCGCGAUUGAAUGAGCCGAUGUCGGAUUAGCUAGUUGGCGGGGUAAAGGCCCACCAAGGCGACGAUCCGUAGCUGGUCUGAGAGGAUGAUCCGCCACAGUGGAACUGGGACGCGGCACAGACUCCUGCGAGAGGCAGCAGUGGGGAAUAUUGGACAAUGGGCGCAAGCCUGAUCCAGCCAUACCGCGUGGGAGAAGAAGGCCUUCGGGUUGUAAAGCCCUUUUGUUGGGAAAGAAAAGCAGCAGGUUAAUACCCCGCUGUUCUGACGGUACCCAAAGAAUAAGCACCGGCUAACUUCG
rnacentral:rRNA from 1 species